CCCGAGAGUAGCAGAGACUGCCAAAGACCAACUGAUGUUAUAUGAAAUUCCCAACAGUAGCGAUUAAACCACUUUCUGGCUGUAAUAUCAGCUCGCUCAUACUAGAAGCUCUUAAGAAGCUUUAUAACUGAAAAUAGGCAGUUCUCUGUUAAAUAUAGAGGGGAAGUCUGUCUGCAUAGAGUCGGAACAGGGGGUUCUAGAACGUGUAGUUCAGUUGUCAGCUUUAUACCUAUGUAAGUAAAUAUCCCAGAAAGCUUCACAGUGUUCCUGAUGACAUACAGUGGUUUUGUUGGACACAGCAAAUUAGGAGAAAGGGAAAGGAAGGC